UACGUAGGUGGCAAGCGUUGUCCGGAUUUACUGGGCGUAAAGAGCGCGCAGGCGGUCGUUCAAGUCGCGUGUGAAAGCCCCCCGGCUCAACUGGGGAGGGUCACGCGAUACUGAUCGACUCGAAGGCAGGAGAGGGUAGUGGAAUUCCCGGUGUAGUGGUGAAAUGCGUAGAUAUCGGGAGGAAUACCGAUGGCGAAGGCAGGUCUCUGGGCUGGACACUGACGCUCAUGCACGAAAGCGUGGGGAGCAAACAGG
rnacentral:rRNA from 1 species